CUUCACCUCUGGACUGUGGAGGAGGGAGUGGCAUUGAACAGAAAGGAGGGUGUGUGACGGCCAGAGAAGGAGCUUUCUGCUUUCACGCGUUGCCAAGCAGUGAAAGAGUGUCUGUCACAGAGGACAAGCAAAGAGACAGAGCGGAAAAGUUGGACAAGAAAGAAAGAGACAAAGGGAGAAAGCUGGUUAGAGAGAAGAGAGCUGAAAAGAGCUCCUAUCUACCGUCCCACCCCCUGAUCUUCCUCCUCUCAGCUCAGACGGGAAGAAGAAAAAAAGGAAAAAGGAGUGCAGAGAGAGAGAGAGGUAGAGCUCAGCCUCGCUCGCUCUUUAGCGCAGGACUCAGGAAUUUCCAGGACCUUUGGAGUUGUGAGCGCUCACAUGCACACGCUGCUUUUCUCGUGGUGAUACGAACCUGAGCAGAGAGGCAGUGAAAAGGAAAGAAAAGAAGGCGAGGGAAUGAGUGAAUAACCAGCUCCUCCAGUGGACUAUCUGGCCAACGAUGGCACCUGCCGAGGAGAAAGUGAGUCAGAGGAGCUGCUGAUGAAGGUGGAUAUCCCUGGAAAGCCUCCAAAGAAAGGCACCCAGGAUGAACCACCUCAGUUCCUUCUGAUGUGAAAGACUCCACUUAGCUCCUCAGACCAUCUCUAAGAAGACCGUCAACCCAUUAGAGGCAACUCAUGACCAUAGGUUUCCCAGAGACUAUGGGUUGAGGAGGAAUUGGAAGUUUGUCAGCUUAGACCUGGUGUCAUUCCAUCAGUGUUAAACUUCCCGGCUCAUCUUGGAAGAGUAUGUGCCAGAAAGACCACGACCAAGCAGCCCUGAGAUCUUAGACAGCGUCUCCCUGAGGUGGGUGUCGACGGUGUUCACAGUCAGGUCUGUAGAGGGGGGAGGCCGCCACCCACCUCCCCGCCUACUCUCCGCCCUGACUCCACCCAGACUCCGCCUUGGCUGCACCCAUGUGGUCACUUUAUUAACUAUGAUGCCAAAGGGAUGAUGAAAUUACUUUUUUUUAUCUGAUCUAUAGCUCAGUGAGUUAAGGAUUUGCCUGUAGAGCUGCAGGUCGCUGGUUCAAGACCAGACCCUUCUUAAAUUUUAUGAAAAUCCUGACAAAGACAAACAAAGAAAAAUGCCAGUGGUGGGUCUUGAACCUGCAACCUUCCACUUGGUAGUCCCUCUUCUUAUCCCCUGAGCUACUCGCUCAGAUACUAAAUCUUCUUUUUUUUUUUACACAUUUAUCAUCUAUUUUUUUCUCCGUUUUUGAGUUUUUUUUAACUUGAGUCUCGACUCGACCCUUUUUCUCAGGAGGUUGGACUUCAGCCUUUGUGCUGGAGGGUUGAACCCUCAGUUCCAAGACUUUCAAAGCCUCCACACCUCCCGAGUCCUCAGGACCUGAGCUUUCACACAGUCUGAGGGCUGAAAUUUCCUAAGUCCCACAGUAGUUCUCUGUUAGAUUGAACUUCCAGACAGUCCAAGGACUGAUAUCUUCUAAGUUCCUGAGUACUUCUCUGUUAGUUUGAACCUUCAGACAGUCUGAGGACUGAAAUCUUAAAAGUUCUUGAGUAGUUCUCUGUUAGUUUGAACCUUCAGACAGUCUGAGGACUGAAAUUUUAUAAGUUUCUCAGUACUUCUCUGUUAGUUUGAACUUUCUGGUUAGCAGAAGCCUUAAAACUUGUGACCAUGAGUCUUGAUUUCACGUUUAGAUCAUCCACCUGAGUUCUUCUCAGACCUUCACCUGUGGGUUCUUUAGAAAUCCUCAACAAACUUUGAUUCUCUUCACUGAACAGUAAAGUUUGUGGAGAUCAGAAGGUAACAUUAGUUUGAUCAAUGCCUUCAACUACUAGUAGACUUUAUCUGGAAAGCAGUUUUCUGAAAUGAGUUCUUAGUAAAUCUAUCCACAAUCAAACCAAGAACAUAGAAAGAGGAAAUGUUUGAAGAAACAACUUGAUGUUUUCGUUUCAGACUAGAAAACGCUUUAAGAUCUUUAUCUGUUUUUGCUCUUUUUGAUCGUUUUAUUGUCUCUUCUGUUUAAUUUGAUCUUCUAAAGUCUAACUGGUGUCUUUUGAAAUGCUUCGUCUUUAGUUUGAUUCUUCUUAAACGUUUAGUUUUGCUCUUUUCUCACCUUUUAUUCUUUUCUAAUGUCUGAUUUCGAUUUCCGAAUGUUUUGUCUUUUUAAUGUUUAAUUGUUUUUUCAAAUGUUUUAUCGGCUUGUUUGAGUUUCUUUUUCUUUCCCAAUAUUUAAUGUUUCGAUUAAAUCUUUAAGGUUUUUCUUUUUAAAUGUUUUACCACCUUUUAAUGAUUAAUUUUCUUUUUAAAUGCUUCAUUGUAUUUUCUGUGUAAUUCCUAUUUGAAGUUUUAUUGUCUUUAAGAU
ensembl:lncRNA